CAGACAAGAUUUUCAGUUUUUAUUACCCAAGAAAGUGCAACCCUCACGAAAGUCUUUAUAAGUCCCAGAUUUAAUAUUUCAAACGUAAUAUAAGACACAAGAAGGUAUAUAGCAAAAGCAUCCAAAUUUGUAAAAUAAUCCUUGACAGGGAUAUAGCAAAAGCAUUCAAAUUUGUAAGAACCUAAACGAGCAAAUCAGUCACUUGGAGAAAAUAUUCCCAAAAAUAAAAUAAAAGAUGACUUAGUAGUACUGUACAAUCACACGUACCUUCCCUUUCUGCUAGGUAGUCCUGCAGACAACGAUAUGCCCACAUCAUCAUUCAACCACGGCCACCUCCUGAUCGACCUUCCAGUAGUUAGUGUCGUUGUACUCCUGCUGCAUAUUCUCAUCAGAGCUCUCCUUUCCCGGAGAAGCUGUGGUGCUGCUCCUCUUCAUUGGCCCUGCUUCUCCCACUAUCCCUUCCUUGAGAGCUUGAUCCAUUGCCCUCUCGGUUCCUUCUGGCUCCACGCCCACAAACUCGAUGUCUUUUUCAAACAAUGAAGGCACAGGCGGUGAUCUCGGGCUAAUCUCACCUUCUGAGGAUGAAGAACCGUUUGAGACUCUCACAUCAGGCAUCUUGACGUCAUCUUCAGGAAACGGAUCUUUGACCUGUGCAGUGGGAGAAGAAGCAUCUCCACGUUCAACCCUUUCGGGUGACGAAUCAUCCGAAACCACAUCUUCAUCGAUCUCGAUACCUCCAGGUAUGCUGUGUACAGAGACUGCUUCUGAGGUUGAAGCUGUGGCCACAAAAGGGUUCUUGCUUUCCGUAAUCAAACAGUCUUCUUCUUCAUCUCCAUUACCGGAAGUUUCAUCCAAGCUUACAUCUUCCAUUGCUUCCUCCGAAGGAAUCCCCCCUGCUCUUGUGUUCUCACCCAACUCAUCUCCUUGGAAAGUGAACCAGUUCGAGUUUGCGAAUAAAUUGCUGCACCAAGAACAAAUAAUCAUUCCAUUGGUUUUAGAAGCAACAAAACCAUUCAAUGUUGGUUUGAAUAAAUCAGAUGUGGAAGCUUACUUGGCCUGUUCAUCACCAAGCCUUAGAGAUGAUACAACAACUUCAGCAGACUCGUCAUCAAAGUAGACAUCCUACCAAAUAUGUCACAGUCAGGACUAUGUCAUGAGACACCAAAUAUAUUUACAACGAGUACCUCUUCGUCUCUGUCAUUGGAACCAUGCUCCUGGAACCAGAAAGAUGGGAUUUAGAUCCAGCCAAAAUGUUUUAAGAAAUACUAAUCAAUUUUUUUAACAAUUACCUCCUCAGCACCAUUAUUCUCUUGCAUGUUGUAUCUAGUAAACUGGUUCAAGUUAUUAGCCAAACCAGCAAGGUCAUAAUCCCUGUCGUGAACUUCCUCAUCGUCACUGUCCCUAGUCCUAUCAUGUAAUGCAGUUGGGCGUCUGCGUGCAGAAGUAGUAAAACGAUCGUUAUCAAGAGACACUAGCACGAGUAUAUCGUUACUUUUAAACCCAAAGGUGUUCAGACCAAGUUUCCAAUGAUAUCUCAAAACGCUGUGACAGCAAAAGGUUUGAGAAGAGACAUACCCACAAACCCAGCGAUAAACAUUCUCAACCGUGUUUCGGUCAUGUAAUGUAUUAGCUUCCCACUCGCCCCAUUCGUUAUGUUCCUAGAAAAGGAAAAAUGUAUGAGUUAGAAUGUUGCAUCUACCAACAGGAUGCAAAUAUUUGUACACAAAAUUUGAGGUAAGACAAUGCCUAAAUAUUACAAGGAAAAACAUAUAGUUAUACAUGGAUUACUUUAUUAUGGGACACAUUUUGAUGGGUUUCUCAGAAAGAAUCCAAGUAAUUUUCAAACAGAGUGGUCGAAUAAAUGCAAGCAAAUAUAUGUAUUCAGAGAACAUAUUAGCAAAGAUUAUUUAACUACACAAAUCAUUAUGUGUAAGAUAUAAGCAUAUAUACAUAUAUUCACAAAGACCAAUUAGCCCAGUUGUCUAACAUUGUUGUUGAAAAGCGAACCUCAAGUAAAGUCUUUAUCGAGUUACUGUUAGUUGACAGCUGAACAAGCUUGUUUGAAAUUCUUGAGAUAUGACCGAUAUUUCCUACCCGCGGAGCCUGCUUUCCAGCAGCAGGUAUCGUUGGCUGCAUGAAAGCAAAACUGAUUAAACCUGUAACUGAGGAUACUGUCAGAAAAGUGGAUAUAGCUGCCGGCCAUUUGGGUGUCUGAUAAAGAGUAACAAUAAAGAACACCAAGACAGAAUUUGUUCAACGUCUUGUCAUACGAAACUAGGAAAAUAUUAUUUAUAUACUCUCCCACCAUAUUUUCUGACUAGAUAUCAGAGAGCAUGCACAUCAAUAAGCAGGAGUCAGAGUUUCGUACCUGGUUAUCACCAGAAAGGAUUGGCUGUUUCUCUAUUUUAAGAAUUUUUCCAAUCAAGUCACACUCACGGAGAAGAUGGUCAAUCAUCUCCUCGUAUUUGCUCUCCAAACACGAUACUAGUAUACUCUCUACCUGAUGGUGCAGUGCAUUAUUAUAUGGGUACCUGCAUAGGUAAAAAGAAUCAUUAAAAGUAGGAUUUAGCCAAGCGAAGUUAAGACAUGUCAAGUACCAAACAAAGCAAGAGUUUUUUCUUAAUCCAGGAAGAAGUCUUUACUCGAAGAACAAAUCAAGGACUCGUCUAACAGCUCCUGAGGUAGCUAGUACUUUUCCUGUAGCUUCACUUCGGGUUUUCAGUAAGACAGCAAUGAACUCCACAAUCUAAGAAAAGCCAUCAGCAAAACCAAGGAAAUCAAUAAAUUAAUAAUAGAUCAGAGAACAUACGGAAUAACAUGUGUAAUUUCCAGGACCUGAUCCCGUGUCUAUCUUACAAUCAGAUCGUUUAUUUGACAAUAAAAAACAUUUAUGAAUGAAACCUAACCUUCAAACGCUGACUGCCAAGGGGAGGCCUCAACUGCCCAUAGCUUGUAGGUAACACCUUUUCAUCAGAUGUCACGUUCAAAAGUGCGACAAAGUCACCUACACCCGAGACAAAAACGCUUAAAGGAAUCUUCAUGUAAGGGGUUCACAUAAGAAGUUCUAGCAUAUAAAAAGUCUAGGAUUCAAAUUCUAUCAUAUAUGUUCAACACGAAUCAGAGCUUCAAUCUAUCAGGGUAGAAAGAACAAAGCAUAUACCCAGACACUACUAAUACGAAGGUGGAAUGGCAUCAAACGAACAACCAAAUAAUAAAACUAGAAGAUUUUCAUUGUCUUGCAAACACGUACUGUCACGUCGAACAGCAUAAGAAGUUACCAGAUGUUAAGAUGAACCAAGAAGAUAGAAUUGGAUUCUAGCAAUCACUAAAAAGUUAUGAUGAGAAAACAAACUAGCAGGAAAAACAAGAAUAGAGCCCAAUGAAUCAUCUGUGUGACACUAACCAAGUCUAGGCAGCAUGGUGGCAAUCGUCUCCGGAUUCACAGAAAUUGGAGACUCAAAGAUUUGUUGGCCCCUGAAUGAAUACAUAAAGGGAGAAGAAACCAAAGAUCUUCUUGGGCUUAACAGCGAAAUGCACACAGAGAGUGUGUGGACAAGGCUAGAUUUGGACUGAGGAUCUCCAAAAGCAUGACCAAAUAUCCUUGCAACAAAACUGCAGACAAAACGAUCACUGAGUUAUCUUGAAUACUAAGUAUUUUCUGCAAAUUUAAGAGGAUAAAACAUCUUGCAAACCUUGAGCUAGAGAGUUUCGUAGCUAAAGGUGAUGGUGCAUUUUGAGCAAUAGUGCAGAGUGUCAUUAAACAUUUAUUAAAGAGUUAAAAUACAUCUAUGCUAUAAGGUUAAAUAAACUAGACUUAGGGUUUAGAGUUAUGGGGUGGAGUUUUGUGGAUAUGAUUUCAAAGUUUGAAAAAUAAAAAAGAAAUAUUAAAAUUUUCAAAAUAAAAUGGGUUAUUUUGGUCAUUUCCUUAUUGAUGACUAUUUUGUGACAAAAACUUAAAAACGACUAUUUGAAAGAGUUGCCCUACAAAUUAAGAAAAUUUAAAUAAUAAGUAAAUAUAUAAUAUAAAAAAUGGAAAACUAUAUGAAACAUCUAUAUGAAAAAUGUAUAGUUUUCUGUUUUUUUCUAAAGAAAUUACUAUUCACACAAACAUACAAUUUAGAAUUUUAUUGUUGUUCAGAAUACAACGUCCAAAUGAAUAACUAUAUAGUUAACAUUUAAAAAUCAAAAUAGCCCCGCGCGUAGCGCAGGUUUACUCCUAGUUGAAUAUGAAAUCGACCAUUUGAAACUCUCACAAUAUAUCAAUGUCAUAACUCUUUAAUAUAGAAACAAUUAUUGUAAACAAGAAAAAUAUAUUUUACCACAUAUAAACCUUCUUCAUCUAAAACUUUCUUAAAGACAAAAAACAUUAUAUACACAUCUCUUGCAAAUGCAAACUUAAAACACAAACCACAAAAUCAUAUAAAAAAUAGUAACUUAAAUUGUAAGAAAAGUAUAUCACCCUAGUAAAAUAUAUAAACAAAAUUUAAGAUAGAAUAUUACAAACAUAUAUCCUAUUCAUGUUUUCAAAAAUAUUUUUAAUUCAUUGCUUUAAAAACUGAAUCAGUUUUAGUUACAUUUUUCAAAAACAAAAGGUAAAUCCAUAUUUGUUUGCUAAUUUCAACCUCAAAAGUCACACACAUAUAUUUGCAUGUAAAAUAAUUAUUCAAACCGGCUUAACCCAGCUUACUAAACCAGAAGUAUUGUUAAUCUAUUAUAUAUGAUUAAUACAAGGACAUAUCCUUCAGAACUGAUCCCCAUUUAGACGUCACUCAUUCCCGCCACUGCUUCACGGUCUCGAUCAAUAACAACAUUGUACACUUGUCCAGCUGCAGCUUUUGAGACGGGUCAUAGAAUGAGCAUAGGUUGUUUGCUUCGUAGUAGCUCUUUUAACAUUCAUAUAUUGUGUUUGUUGUAUUCCGUUUUAUCUCAAAUUAAUUUUUACACAUUCUUGUUUCCCUAUUUAGUUGCACGAAUCGGCCACCAUUGUUGUCAAAACCAUAUCCAGACAAGAUUUUCAGUUUUUAUUACCCAAGAAAGUGCAACCCUCACGAAAGUCUUUAUAAGUCCCAGAUUUAAUAUUUCAAACGUAAUAUAAGACACAAGAAGGUAUAUAGCAAAAGCAUCCAAAUUUGUAAAAUAAUCCUCGACAGGGAUAUAGCAAAAGCAUUCAAAUUUGUAAGAACCUAAACGAGCAAAUCAGUCACUUGGGAGAAAAUAUUCCCAAAAAUAAAAUAAAGAUGAUUUAGUAGUACUGUACAAUCACACGUACCUUCCCUUUCUGCUAGGUAGUCCUGCAGACAACGAUGUGCCCGCAUCAUCAUUCAACCACGGCCACCUCCUGAUCGAUCUUCCAGUAGUUAGUGUCGUUGUACUCCUGCUGCAUAUUCUCAUCAGAGCUCUCCUUUCCCGGAGAAGCUGUGGUGCUGCUCCUCUUCAUUGGCCCUGCUUCUCCCACUAUCCCUUCCUUGAGAGCUUGAUCCAUUGCCCUCUCGGUUCCUUCUGGCUCCACGCCCACGAACUCAACGUCUUUUUCAAACAAUGAAGGCACAGGCGGUGAUCUCGGGCUAAUCUCACCUUCUGAGGAUGAAGAACCGUUUGGGACUCUCACAUCAGGCAUCUUGACGUCAUCUUCAGGAAACGGAUCUUUGACCUGUGCAGUGGGAGAAGAAGCAUCUCCACGUUCAACCCUUUCGGGUGACGAUUCAUCCGAAACCACAUCUUCAUCGAUCUCGAUACCUCCAGGUAUGCUGUGUACAGAGACUGCUUCUGAGGUUGAAGCUAUGGCCACAAAAGGGUUCUUGCUUUCCGUAAUCAAACAGUCUUCUUCUUCAUCUCCAUUACCGGAAGUUUCAUCCAAGCUUACAUCUUCCAUUGCUUCCUCCGAAGGAAUCCCCCCUGCUCUUGUGUUCUCACCCAACUCAUCUCCUUGGAAAGUGAACCAGUUCGAGUUUGCGAAUAAAUUG
rnacentral:lncRNA from 1 species